rnacentral:rRNA from 1 species
UUUGAUCCUGGCUCAAAACGAACGCUGGCGGCGUGGAUAAGACAUGCAAGUCGAACGGGGUUGUUUGUGUAGCAAUACAUCGACAACCUAGUGGCGAACGGGUGCGUAACACGUGAGCAAUCUGCCGGGAAGUGGGGGAUAGCUCGCCGAAAGGCUAAUUAAUACCGCAUGUGGCCAGAGGGGACAUCCCUUCGACGCCAAAGUCGCAAGACGCUUCCUGAUGAGCUCGCGGCCUAUCAGCUUGUUGGUGAGGUAAUGGCUCACCAAGGCUAUGACGGGUAGCUGGUCUGAGCAGGACGACCAGCCACACUGGAACUGAGACCACGGUCCAGAUACCUACGGGUGGCAGCAGUCGAGAAUUUUUCACAAUGGGGGCAACCCUGAUGGAGCGACGCCGCGUGGAGGAUGAAGGUCUUCGGAUUGUAAACUCCUGUCAUGCGAGAACGAGAAAGUGAUAGUAUCGCAAGAGGAAGAGACGGCUAACUCUGUGCCAGCAGCCGCGGUAAUACAGAGGUCUCAAGCGUUGUUCGGAUUCAUUGGGCGUAAAGGGUGCGUAGGCGGCGUGGUACGUUGAGUGUGAAAUCCUAGGGCUUAACCUUAGAACAGCACUCAAUACUGCCAUGCUUGAGGAAUGUAGAGGAGAGUGGAAUUCACGGUGUAGCAGUGAAAUGCGUAGAUGUCGUGAGGAAGACCAGUUGCGAAGGCGACUCUCUGGGCAUCUCCUGACGCUGAGGCACGAAGGCUAGGGGAGCAAACGGGAUUAGAUACCACGGUAGUCCGAGCAGUAAACGGUGCACGUUUGGUGUGGGCGGGUUCAGACCCCGUCCGUGCCGGAGCUAACGCGUUAAACGUGCCGCCUGGGAAGUACGGUCGCAAGAUUAAAACUCAAAG